UACGAAGGGGGCAAGCGUUGUUCGGAAUUACUGGGCGUAAAGGGCGCGCAGGCGGCCCUUGAAGUCAGGUGUGAAAGCCCCGGGCUCAACCUGGGAAUUGCAUUCGAGACUGCAUCGCUUGGGUGCGGAAGAGGGAAGCGGAAUUUCCGGUGUAGCGGUGAAAUGCGUAGAUAUCAUUUGGAACGCCAACGGCGAAAGCAGGCAGCUGGGGAUGCACCGACGCUGAGACACGAAAGCCAGGGGAGCGAACGGG
rnacentral:rRNA from 1 species